rnacentral:rRNA from 1 species
AGUAACGCGUGAGGAACCUGCCUCAAAGAGGGGGACAACAGUUGGAAACGACUGCUAAUACCGCAUAAGCCCACAGCUCGGCAUCGAGCAGAGGGAAAAGGAGCAAUCCGCUUUGAGAUGGCCUCGCGUCCGAUUAGCUAGUUGGUGAGGUAACGGCCCACCAAGGCGACGAUCGGUAGCCGGACUGAGAGGUUGAACGGCCACAUUGAGACUGAGACACGGCCCAG